rnacentral:lncRNA from 1 species
UCAUACCAGUAAGAGGCCUGGUGACUGUAGGUGGUCAUACCAGUACAGGGCCUGGUGACUGUAGGUGGUCAUACCAGUACAGGGCCUGGUGACUGUAGGUGGUCAUACCAGUAAGGGGCCUGGUGACUGUAGGUGGUCAUACCAGUACAGGGCCUGGUGACUGUAGGUGGUCAUACCAGAACAGGGCCUGGUGACUGUAGGUGGUCAUACCAGUAAGGGGCCUGGUGACUGUAGGUGGUCAUACCAGUACAGGGCCUGGUGACUGUAGGAACUCAUACUAGUAAGAGGCCUGGUGACUGUAGGAACUCAUACCAGUAAGAGGCCUGGUGACUGUAGGUGGUCAUACCAGUAAUGGGCCUGGUGACUGUAGGAACUCAUACCAGUAAGGGGCCUGGUAACUGUAGGAACUCAUAUUAGUAAAGGGCCUGGUGACUGUAGGUGGCCAUACCAGUAAUGGGCCUGGAGACUGUACGUACUCAUACCAGUAAUGGGCCUGGUGACUGUACGUACUCAUACCAGUAAUGGGCCUGGUGACUGUACGUACUCAUACCAGUAAUGGGCCUGGUGACUGUACGUACUCAUACCAGUAAAGGGCCUGGUGAUUGUAGGUGGUCAUGCCAGUAAAGGGCCUGGUAAAUGUAGGUGGUCAUACCAGUAAAGGGCCUGGUGACUCUAGGAACUCAUGCCAGUAAUCAGCCUGGUGACUGUAGGUCCUCGUACCAGUAAAGGGCCUGGUGACGAUAGGUGAUCAUACCAGAAAAGGGCCUGGUGACUGUAGGUGGUCAUACCAGAAAAGGGCCAGGUGACUGUAGAUGUCCUUCACGUAGUCCAAGGUUCUGACAAUUUUUUUUCUGGUGGGGGAAAGUUUAUUCUAGUCAAGGCUAGGUCUUCACCUUGUCUACUGGUAUAUAUGUAUAUAUGGGGGAUUGUGAGGGAUUGUCGAACCUUAAUAAAAAGCCCAGAGGACAGUGCAUGUUCGUUGUCUUUGGGGACUCCUUCUGUCACUGUAUCUAUAUAGAGCACAAAAGUCAAAGGCCACCAAAAAUACUAGAAAAUGUUCAAACUCAAAUAACGAUGAUGCCACCCACCACACAUACAUGUUCCCCGAAAGUUUUUGAUUAGUUUUUAACAAUGAAUUUGAGCAUGAUUUUGUGUCUGAAUGAAGGAAUAAGAAGAAAAAAAAAAAAAACAAUUCGGCUACCAGAAAAAACAAAUAAACUGAGUACAUAUAUAUUUUUUUCUGUGCACAUAAAACGAAAACAAGGAAAA